UUACUGAAAAGAUGACUUAUCUGCAUGCAAGUAUUUAAGACCACAGCGCAUUCUUUGCAGUGUUCUUCCAUUGCAGGGGGAUUCAGGAACACAAGACGAAUCUGCUAUAUGAUAUUAAGCAUUUCAUUCAGUCUAUGGGAUCCAAAUUCAAAUCAGGACAUCCAGCCUUACAGAAGAUCUGAGCCAUCAUAUUCUGUCUAAAUAAAAUCCAACGACAUGGCUGCAGAGAAAGCAGCAGCGGCAAAAGUACCAAGGGCCUCUACGUGGUCGCCGCUGACAUUAACAUUUGCAGUUGUAACAGUAAUAAUAACUUAUGUAUUUAUGCCAGGAGUAGGUGAAGGAGCAGUAGGAGCAGCGGCUGGAGCAGCGGCUGCGGUAGGAGUUUUAAAUUCACUGUGGGAAAAAGAAGAACGGACGGGGAAAAUAGCAGUAGCAGUAACUGGGGUAACAGGAGGCGUAGCAGGAACAGCAGCAGCAAUGUUUCGAUCAAUGCUAGGAAAACGUUCGCUAACAGGAGCAGCGAUUGUUGGGGCGCUAGCAGGAGCUGCCAUAGUUGCGCUAGCAAAACCGCAGUUACAAAGGUUUAUACAAGUCAUAAGAUAUUUAAUAGAUGCACUGAAAAUGUUUGUAGGAGUAACUCUAGUACUUUUUAUUGCUACAUUAUUGAUAUGGGUAAAAGAUCUAAUAAAGUGGGCAGUAUCCCAAGUGAAAGCAGCGGCACAGUGGAUUAUAGAAGCAGCAAAAAAGGCAUUCAACACAUUAGCAUCGCUUGGAGCAGCGGGAUUGCCGGCAGCAGCAGCAGGAGUGAUAGCAUCAUUAGCAUUAGCAUCAGCAUCUGGAUUAGCAGGAGCGUUAGCAGGACUAGUAUCCGUAUUAUUCGGUCUUGGGUUAGUAUUUGCGGCCGGAGCAGUCAUUUUUGGAUGCGUUCAGAGAGGACAAUCAAGCCAGCCGCAGGCACAAGAUGGAGACGUGAUGUUACCAGUAGCUGCUUUUUUACUUUUUGUUUUAUUCUGUUUCCUUGUUUCCUCUGUGGGCAUGUUUCGUUGUUGUUUAUUGUUGUUCAUCUUGUGGUUUCUGAUCCGCUACCGCUCUGAAAGGCACUGAUCCUGUUUAUUAAGGAGAAUGCGACAACCGUAAAAGCCUUGAAAAUUUAACCAAGCUUUUUUCUUUUAUCCAUCUAUUAUUGUAUAUUCCAAAGGCGUAUAUUCCAUUUUGUUUGGGGGAAACCUUUUUGGGUUUGCUUAUAUCAUCGCAAAAUGUGAACUGUGUUAUUGCUUAGGUCUAUAUACAUAUAUGUGUGUGUGUGUGUGUUAUAUCCAACUUUAUUCACAUACAUCCUGACAUUAAAAUAUAUUUAAAAUGAAGCACCCUUUCAAAUUCAAAACUGCUUUUAUCUCCAGAAAAUGUGUGAAUUUGUAAAUAUUUGUUCAGUUAAAUAACUGAGACACAAAAAUUCAGUAACCAUUAUUCAAGAGAAGAUAUGGAAUCCCAGAAUACAUCCAUUUGCUUUACAGUUUCAUAGAUUUACAUGUACAGUAGAACGCCAAUGAAUUUUAAUGCCCUUUUUUGUUGAGACAUUUCAUAGACAUAAUGGUUUUUGUAUGUACAAACUGUAUUUUCUAACCCCACACCUCAACCUACCAUUCACACAAAACAUUCUGCUAUUUUGAUAAAAAAAAAAAAAAAAAUUUAAUUUUACUAUUUUUAGAGAACUCCUGAAUUUUUAUGAUUUGUAAGUUUACUGGUA